UUGAAAAUUCGAAAAUUCGAAAAGUCGAAAAAAAAAAUCGAAAAAAAAAAUUUUGAAAAAAAAAAAAAAAUUGCCUAGGCCUCCUCUUCUUUAGGCCUAACAAAUUUCAUAACAAACAUAUAUGAAGAAAGAGUUUUGGGCUACCACUUAGAAAGGAAAUGCCUCAUUCGUCAACUCCCUCGCCCGGAAACUUGGGGGACUCCUACCAUAUGCUACUGCACCUUGAUACACGAAAGUCUCACGACCACUCAGUGACUUAGAUUUUUCAAGUCUCCAAACGAGAAGUUUUCCUCACUCGGGAAAUUAAGGGAGCACUACCUCAACCUUCAUGCUUCACUCACAAAGCUUCAACAUACAAGCUUCAACAAAAGGAAAAAUUCAAAUAACUUAGUGAAGAAGGCCUUGGUGUAUUUAACACAAUACGUUGAAAUGAAGCAAAGCUUGUUUAUUGAUAUCUCCGAUAAGUUACAAAUAUGUACAUACACAUGAAUCAAAAUAAACAAACAAGAAGGAGCCUUCACAAAGGUUGCUCAGGAGAAGUCUUAGCAAUCGGCAGAGCCCCAGAAAGAGGAGGCACCAGAGGGUGAUUAUUCGAAGCCUUAGUAUUAGGCAGAACCCCAGAAGGAGGAGGCACCGAAGGUUGAUCAUGUGGAGCUUCAUUACGCGGUACAGCCCUAGAAGACGAAGGUAAUAAAUGCCUUUGGAACAAACCCACAAACCUCGAUGAUCAAGUAAAAUCUAACCAUCAAAUUCUUGCAGCUGGUUGAGCUUCCUCUUUAUGUUUGUAGCAUAGUCAUGUGCGAGCCUGUGCAACUGUUUAUUCUCAUGCUUGAGCCCUCUGAUCUCCUGUUUGAAACUUAUCACUUCAGUCGCCAAUGAUUCAACUAGGCGAGUUCGAGCAAAUAGGCGUUGGGCCAUAUUAGACACUGAACACUGAGAGCCAGAGAAUCCUUAACAGCCAACUCAUCAGACCGUUUGGAAAGUAGUCUGUUAUCUUUGGGAGUGAGAAGGUUCCUGGCCACUACCGCAGCGGUUAUAUAAUUCUUCAUUACAGAGUCCCUAACGGUAAGAGGACCAGUAAGGGAUAAGAAGGAUGGGCACCAUAUGUUGUCUUGAGAAGGCAUGGCUACCUUUUCACCAAAGUUCAAGUCAAAACAAUGGUCGGAUGGGCCAGACAUUCUUAGAAAUGAUGAAGAAGAAAUGAGGUGCAAUAAAUCUCUGAAGUAAGGGGAAAAUUCCUAUAAGCAAUAACUCUUUGAAUGAACUCCUUGCACAUAAUUGGUGCCCUUAUAAAAGAAAGGGCAACAUGGCCGUUGGUUCAAAAAUCGAAGAGGCACCACUCUCUGGCUUCCGAAGAGGCAC
rnacentral:lncRNA from 1 species